UGGGGAAUUUUGGACAAUGGGCGCAAGCCUGAUCCAGCCAUGCCGCGUGAGUGAAGAAGGCCUUCGGGUUGUAAAGCUCUUUCGGCGGGGACGAAAUGGUUCGUGCCAAUACCACGGACUGAUGACGGUACCUGAAGAAGAAGCACCGGCUAACUACGUGCCAGCAGCCGCGGUAAUACGUAGGGUGCAGGCGUUAAUCGGAAUUACUGGGCGUAAAGCGUGCGCAGGCGGUUUGUUAAGACAGAUGUGAAAUCCCCGGGCUUAACCUGGGAACUGCGUUUGUAACUGGCAGACUGGAGUGUGGCAGAGGGGGGUGGAAUUCCAAGUGUAGCAGUGAAAUGCGUAGAUAUUUGGAGGAACACCGAUGGCGAAGGCAGCCCCCUGGGCUAACACUGACGCUCAUGCACGAAAGCGUGGGGAGCAAACGGGAUUAGAUACCCAAGUAGUCCCUGAGCGGGCUGGCAAGGCGCAU
rnacentral:rRNA from 1 species